rnacentral:rRNA from 1 species
GAUGAACGCUGGCGGCGUGCCUAAUACAUGCAAGUCGAGCGAACAGACGAGGAGCUUGCUCCUCUGACGUUAGCGGCGGACGGGUGAGUAACACGUGGAUAACCUACCUAUAAGACUGGGAUAACUUCGGGAAACCGGAGCUAAUACCGGAUAAUAUAUUGAACCGCAUGGUUCAAUGGUGAAAGACGGUUUUGCUGUCACUUAUAGAUGGAUCCGCGCCGCAUUAGCUAGUUGGUAAGGUAACGGCUUACCAAGGCAACGAUGCGUAGCCGACCUGAGAGGGUGAUCGGCCACACUGGAACUGAGACACGGUCCAGACUCCUACGGGAGGCAGCAGUAGGGAAUCUUCCGCAAUGGGCGAAAGCCUGACGGAGCAGCGCCGCGUGAGUGAUGAAGGUCUUCGGAUCGUAAAACUCUGUUAUUAGGGAAGAACAAAUGUGUAAGUAACUAUGCACGUCUUGACGGUACCUAAUCAGAAAGCCACGGCUAACUACGUG